rnacentral:tRNA from 1 species
AGGGAUGAAGCUCAGUGGUAGAGUGCUUGCCCAGCAUGCACAGGCCCUGAGUUCAAUCCUCAGCACUGCAA